AUUGAACGCUGGCGGCAGGCCUAACACAUGCAAGUCGAACGAGUGGCGGACGGGUGAGUAAUGUCUGGGAAACUGCCCGAUGGAGGGGGAUAACUACUGGAAACGGUAGCUAAUACCGCAUACCAUCGGAUGUGCCCAGAUGGGAUUAGCUAGUAGGUGGGGUAACGGCUCACCUAGGCGACGAUCCCUAGCUGGUCUGAGAGGAUGACCGGCCAACCUGGAACUGGGACACGGUCCAGACUCCUACGGGAGGCAGCAGUGGGAAAUAUUGCACAAUGGGCGCAAGCCUGAUGCAGCCAUGCCGGUUGUAGGAAGAAGGCCUUCGGGUGGUAAAGUACUUUCAGCGAGGAGGCGUUACUCGCAGAAGAAGCACCGGCUAACUCCGUGCCAGCAGCCGCGGUAAUUC
rnacentral:rRNA from 1 species